GACGAACGCUGGCGGCGUGCUUAACACAUGCAAGUCGAACGGAAAGGCCCUGCUUUUGUGGGGUGCUCGAGUGGCGAACGGGUGAGUAACACGUGAGUAACCUGCCCUUGACUUUGGGAUAACUUCAGGAAACUGGGGCUAAUACCGGAUAGGAGCUCCUGCUGCAUGGUGGGGGUUGGAAAGUUUCGGCGGUUGGGGAUGGACUCGCGGCUUAUCAGCUUGUUGGUGGGGUAGUGGCUUACCAAGGCUUUGACGGGUAGCCGGCCUGAGGGGGUGACCGGCCACAUUGGGACUGAGAUACGGCCCAGACUCCUACGGGGGGCAGCAGUGGGGAAUAUUGCACAAUGGGCGGAAGCCUGAUGCAGCAACGCCGCGUGCGGGAUGACGGCCUUCGGGUUGUAAACCGCUUUCGCCUGUGACGAAGCGUGAGUGACGGUAAUGGGUAAAGAAGCACCGGCUAACUACGU
rnacentral:rRNA from 1 species